CCAUCCGAUUGUCCUCUCUUUUUACCUUCGUCUUCCUCGAGCUGAGUCGCUCAGAUAUUGCAGCCGCGUCGCUGCGCCGUCUCCUGACCGCCGUUGUUUCGUGAGCCAUGGAAGGAUUGGGUUGAGGUGCUGCAGAGCUUGUUCGUCAUCUGGAUUGAUGGUCCCUGCUUCAUUGGCCCGUCGUUCUUGAGAUUGGUUCCGUCCGUCUAUUUGUCCGUCCACCACAUGUGGCUUCGACGCUCUCGCUAUUUCUGCCGAGGGAUUGGCACGUGAGGACUUGGGAUAUCAAUGCAAGGAAGGCAGCUCGAAGUGACCAUGGGACUCAUAACAAACAUGUUGUGAUGCUAUAUGUACGCAAAAUAAUUUUCGGGUUUAAUAUGAUGUAAAGGUGGCAAGUAUAUUUCCAUCCCAAUGUGUGUCAUUCAGAAAUUUCUCUCUGUACAGAUCUUGGGUGUCGAACAUCUUUGGUAUCGAACUUAAUGUGUUUCAUAUCCCAGUCUUAGUGCUUCCUUUGAUUGAUGGAUUCAGGUUCUGCUUGUUCUUGUAUGCUAAUAAUUCUCUUUCUGGUAUACACAUGAGCUCUUUUAUUGACCAUAAGUUCGAUUAAACCAUUGAUUCAAUUUAUACUUUGAUUGUUUCUUUCCAUUUUGUUAUGCAUACGUGUAGUGAUUGAAACAUUUAGAUCCAUUGUGAUUACAAUUGGUUUUAGGCUUGAUGAUGCAAUGCAAUUACAUGUUGGAAUUAGAAAAUUGGUCUGGUGAAAUUAUUUGCAUCUCCGCUCUAUAGAAUCUAGAACUAUUACUUGCAGCCAGGAAAUAAACUAUUUGAUCAUGUGUUAGUCUGAAGGUUUUAACUCUACCACAGCUCUCCUGAAAAUGUGUGUUGCUAUUUUAUUUUGUCUCUGCCAUGUUAAUCUACUGCAGCUGUGCUAAAAAAAAUCAGUAGAAAAGUACUUUCAUAUUUCUGGACUGUUCAAUUUAUGAUGGUCGCCUCUUCUGGGUGUGCUUUGUUUUAGAAACAUUUAACAUAAGAUAUUACUUGUCAAAUAUGGCAUAGCUUGCACCAUACUUCAAUGUAUUCAAAUCUAUCGAGUAAAACUUGCAAUUUGAGAUGAUCACCUCGUGCAUUCAUUUUGCAAUCGUUGAAAAUGGUGUAGGUUUUUAGUUAAAAUGUUCUUUACUAGAGCUGUCUGCUCAUAUGAGCAGACUGACAAGUAUGAUGUGCUAUCCUGUGAAGACUGCACAAACUGUUGCUUUCUAGCUCCCAUGGUGCCUGGGAUAGGUGCUAAAUUCGGGUGAUACCGGUCUUGCGGAUGAGAAUGAAGAAGCCAUUCAGGCAUUUUCAAGUGUUUCCUUUCAACACUUUAAUAGUAUUUUUUUGGAAUAUUUUUAAUAGCAUGUUCAGUGGUGAUAAAGAUGGUUGCAUUUGCUUCAACAUUUUUGCAAUAUUUCCAGUUGGAAAGAUAGCAAGUAAACACCAUUAACUGACUGCUUCUCUACAUUUGAAGUCAAUAAAAUCAGUUAUGCAUGCUCUCUUUUGAUUCUUAAGGCCCAUGGUAUGGUUAAUUUCUGCUGAAAUCAGUAACCAUAAAAGAUCACAUGCCUUUUUUUCUUUCUUGUUGGUGAAAGUUUUUUACUGUUAGGGUCUCCACGGGUUUGUUAGCCUUUUGUUUGGGAGACUUACCAGUCUUUGUCCGCUCCUUCUGCAGCUCUACCGCGGCGCGGCUGCUAAGGUGACUGCUAGCUAGGUCUUAGCUGGUGGUAGCAUCUCGGGUGGUGUUGGUGGUUGGUGCCUCUGGGUGGAACAUGGAAGGGUAGGUUGUUCUCCGAAUGAUGUCGUUGUUCACCGAGUAUUGGAGGCCAAGGAAUUUGCAGCUUUGUGUAGAUAUGCUGUUCUACAGGUUGCUAGACAUAUUAGACAUACAUAUACAUGCUAAGACCUACAGCCAGGGUGGUCAACUAUCUGUUUUUAAGGAGGAUGCCCGACUAGCAUGUCCACAACCUUGACAUGUUGCUAUUUUAUAUUUUCUGAUCUUUUAUUUAUAUAUCUUUAAAUAU